CCCUGUGAAAGGGUCGUUUGACCCACAAAGGGGUCGCGACCCACAGGUUGAGAACCGCUGCCCUAGAAGAAGGCAGGCCUGUCGGGUGGGUCCCCAAGUUCUGUCUGCAUGAUGAGUUAGGCUUGCUUUUCCCAACAGCUUGCCAUACUUUUCAUGGUGGUUUUCCCUACCCCCACCCAGCAUCUUCACUUUGGUGACGUCGCCUACAAAAUGGGGUGCUUUCUGUUGGGUGCAGUCCCCACAGCCCCUGGCUCAUGUCCAGCCUGGGGAGAGGGCCGCUGCUUUGUCAGAGGACCCAGGGCACAGCAGAGAUCUGAACAGCAGAGCCCCACACUGACUCGGGUCUUGCUACCACAUUUGAGGGCUGUCUUUGCCACCUUGGCUGUGUACAGAUCUAGUCAGAAUGGCUGGUGACCAAGAGCGGAGAGCUCAGUCCAGCCAGCUGAUCUCUGCAGGGCGGGACCUGCACGGCCUGACUCCCCCAGAGCCCCCGAUUCUCCGUUGUCACUCUACCCUUGCAUGUACACCUCCCUGCAGAAUCAGUGACUGGCGUGGUCCUGGAAACCCCACAGACUCAGUACUGAUGGGUCCUUGGGUGCAAAGAACCCCCAAAUGUCAGGGCUGAGUGGGACCCUGAGUUUAUUCCCCUCUUGUCCUGGCCCUCUACUCACACCCUUGUACAGGUAAGAAAACUGAGGUCCAAGAGGGUAGCGUGCCUUGCUGUGGCUUUUCUUCUGAGGGCUGUCUCAAACUUUGGGGCCGAGACCCACCUCUGGCAGAUAGGUGGUUUCCUUCUUUGUAAAACUGGGGGGUGACCCAGCAUCCCAGGGCCGUAGGAACAGAAAGCGAGAUUCCUCAAUACCUGAAUUUUCAAUACUGCCCAGGCACAGAGCUGCUAGAAACCAGGGCUUUAACUCUGCAGUGCCGGCUCAUAGUAGGUGUUCAGCUAAUGCCUGGCUCAAAGCUGGCCACAGACCUCAGCACAGAAGUGUUCGGCGCGUGAGGAUGUAUUGAAUCGGAUCUUUUUAUCACCAGGAGGAGGCUCACAGGAGGCGCUGGGAGGACGUUUGUGGAAUGAAUAAAUAAAAGCAUGCUGUUGGAAUGAAGAAGCAGAGAAAUGAAGAAGAAUCGGGGAAGAUGGACAUAAAUUUCCACCAAGCGCCGCCAAGGCUCUGCAGUCGAGGCCGCUGAAAAGACCCUGCGGAGGCAGAGGGGCCAUUUGUCACCGCGCAGACGGCUGGAGGGCCGGGAAGCAAGGGCGUGACGGAGGCUCGUUCAUCAUUUUCCCAUUACCAGGUGACAUGGAGGAAGCUCACGCAUGCGCAGCCCGACCACCCUCCGGCGGCAUGCUGGAUCCUGGACCCAGCACUUAACAAGUGCCCGGCGCAUGCACAUCCCACAGGCAGGGCCUUUGGUUGACCUCAGCCAUGAGCCACGGGCUGUGCCAGAGGUGGCCACACCAGACCACUUCUGCCUGGAGAGGUGUGAGCUGUGAGCUGGGGCGCCUGGCCUGACCCCGGAGUCAUCCGUGGGGCUGUUUAGGGGACCCACCUGCUCUUCCUAGAGCCCUGCUUUCUCUGAGCCCAUCUGGGGUCUAAGCGCUUUCCUCCUGGUCGCCUGCUUCACACGACUCCAGGUCCCUGUCCUCGGAGAAGGCCGAGGGCACCCAUGCCCCAGCAGACGGACGGAUGCACAGCGCCCUUCAGACCAGCGCCCUCUCUGGCCUCACCCAGGAAGGAGGAGGCGAACCCCCCGGCCUUCGCUGUGGACUGGGGAGGGCUGUGUGGGCAUGGGGAGACGUCCUGAGGGAAAUACACUCAAGUAAAAGAGCAAAUGACCUGCGCCCCUCGCCCACCAGACAGUGCGGCUGGGCGGUGAACAUGCUGGUUAGGAUGCAGGAACGCCUGCUCUUCCUUUUCAAACUCUUUGAAUGUUGUCGGGCCGUUUGAAUAAUAAAGCUACA